AACGAACGCUGGCGGCAUGCCUAACACAUGCAAGUCGAACGAGACCUUCGGGUCUAGUGGCGCACGGGUGCGUAACGCGUGGGAACCUGCCCUUAGGUUCGGAAUAACUCCCCGAAAGGGGUGCUAAUACCGGAUAAUGUCUUCGGACCAAAGAUUUAUCGCCUUUGGAUGGGCACGCGUUGGAUUAGCUAGUUGGGAGGGUAAAAGCCUACCAAGGCGACGAUCCAUAGCUGGUCUGAGAGGAUGCUCAGCCACACUGGGACUGAGACACGGCCCAGACUCCUACGGGAGGCAGCAGUGGGGAAUAUUGGACAAUGGGCGAAAGCCUGAUCCAGCAAUGCCGCGUGAGUGAUGAAGGCCUUAGGGUUGUAAAGCUCUUUUACCCGGGAUGAUAAUGACAGUACCGGGAGAAUAAGCUCCGGCUAACUCCGUG
rnacentral:rRNA from 1 species